ensembl:lncRNA
AAAAAUAAAUAAAUAAAUAAAUGAAUGAAUGAAUGAAUGAAUGUGAAUAUGAAUAUGGAUACUAAUAUGUACAUAAAAUACAAACACGGUUUAAUCAAUUUUUUAAGCAUAAAAUAAAUAAUAAUUAAAUAGUAAAGUGUUAAAAAUACGAAAAAACAAAGAAACGAACAUACAUUACAUAUGUACAUAUACUGAUUGAAGAGAAAGUAGGCGAAAUCUUUUUAAAUCAUGUAACAGUCGACUUCCUAACCCUUUACAUACACACAUAUACAUAUAUGUAUAUAUAUAUGCAUAUAUACAUGUAUGAAUGUGUUUUCCGUUUGAACUGUUAAGUAAGAUGGACCUUCCAGUUAAACAUAAAUUAAAAUAAAAAACUGUAAUAGUGCAAUAACCCAGUAGAAAAAGUAUAACUAAAUUGAUUGUUUGGAUACUCAUAUGGGGAUAAGUCAAAAAUAUAAAUAAUUGUAACAUCCAAUUUGAAAUUUUGUUUAUACAAUACAAACAUAUUACGAAUAACUCUAUUUUGCUUUAUAACAAUAAAAACUCGGAAAUUAAAAAAAAAAAAAAAAAAAAAAAAAAAAAAAAAAAAAAAGUAAUUUACAAAAGUAACUUAUAAAAGUAACUUAUAAAAGUAACUUACAAAAAUUACUUAUAAAAGUAUGUAAAUACGUAUACGCACAUACGCGUAUUCAUACAAACUUUUUUAUGGAAAGAAGGAAAAACAACUUUGAAAAAAGAGAUAAAAAAAAAAAAAAAAAAAAAAAAAAAAAAAAAAAAAAAAAAAAAAAACCCAACACUUAAUAACUAACAAAAAAAACAGCUUAAUGAUUUAUGCUUUACACUUUACUAUUUACAAAAAAAAAAUUAAAUUAAAGUAAAACAGGAAAUGAAAAAAUACAUUUUAAUUGUCUUAUUUGUUUUCAAAACAGUAGUUAAUAUACAUAUAAACAAAACUACACACUUUAUAAGUAACACAUGUCAACUAAAUAAAUAUAAAUUAAUUAAAAAAAGUAGUAGAAACAAUAUAAUAAUUAAAAAUAAAAAUAAUAAAUUAUAUACAUCAUUGUUUGAUAGAUACGAUGAAAAUUGUAUAAAGGCUCUUAUUAUGGCUAGGGAGGUAGCUAAAACUAAUAAUGAAAAAGAAAUUUUAAUAAAACAUUUAUUAGUUGGUAUUUUAAAAAUAAAUUAUAAAUUAAUUGAACAUAUUUCAAAAUAUGUUAAUUUAGCAAUAACAAAAUUUUUAAAUAAAUUUAACUUAGGUGGAAAUUCAGUAUCAAAUUUGGAGAUUCCUGAUAGUGAUGGUGUAAGUGGUGGUGUAAGUGAUAGUAGUAGUGGUAGCAACAGUAGCAGUAACAGUAACAAUAGUAGUAACAGUAGUAGUAACAGUAGUAGUAACAGUAGUGGUAACAGUAGUAGUAACAGUAGUGGUAACAAUAGUGGUAACAAUAGUGGUGGUACCGACGAUGACAAUUAUAACAAUGAAAUAAUACCAAACAAAAGCAACAAUAAAAAUUAUACUUUAAAAAAUAAUAUAGAUAAAUAUGUAAAUAAAACAGACCCAAUAAAUGAUACUGAAAAAUCUGGAGACAGCCAGAAUAAUGAACAGUUGUAUGAUCAUAAAUCUCAAAAUAAAGAAAACCUGUUAAUAAGCGAUUUUAUUGAUAAACAUAUACAACAGAUAGAAGAUAAAUUAGUUAUGUUAAAACAAAUAAAUAAGAACGAAUCAGAUAUAAAUUUUAAUACGUCUGGUUCUGCUACUGAUACUGAUACGGAUACUGCUCCUGAUGCAGUGGUUGAUAGUUUUGUAAAUACGGUUACUGAUACACCAACCAUUACAAAUAUUGAUAAUAGUAUAGAAACUCCGAAAAAUGAUAAUAACAGCGAUAAUAACAGCGAUAGUCAUGGUGAUAGUAAUAACAUUAUAUAUGAUGACAUCCAGAAAAAAAAUAGAAAAUAUAUUACAAGUGCAUUAAAUUUUCUUAAAAUUUUACAUAGUUUAACGAAUAAUAAAAAUGUAGAUAAUAAUAAAAAUGUAGGUAAUAAUAAAAAUGUAGGUAAUAAUAAAAAUGUAGAAAAUAAUAAAAAUUCAGAAAAUAAUAAAAAUGUAGAAAAUAAUAAAAAAGAUAGUGAAGAGAUAACUAAAAUAAAUUCUAAUAUAAAAUUUUCUGAUGCUUGUAAAUUAAUACUUAAAAAUGCUGUUUCAGAAGCAAAAAAAAAACAAAAAGUAUUUGUUAAUGUUACUGAUAUAUUAUUAUCACUUAUAGAUAUGGCAAAAGAAAAUAUAGAUAAAGAUUUAGAAAAAUAUUUAAAUGAAUUGAAUAUAAAUAUAAAUGAAUUGAAAGAUCAACUGUCAAGUUAUGACGAGGAACAAGGUUUUAGUUCUGUUAGAUCACCUACUAAAACCACAACUGGUGUGAAUGAUAACAUUAGAGGUUAUACAUCUAAUGGUAGUAUAAAUACUGUUGGAAAUAGUGAAGAUAAUAACAGUGUCAAUACGACCGAAAAUAAAAACAAUGACAUCGGAAGUAGUACCACCCAAGAUAGUUCCACAAAAAGUUGUACCACCAAAAAUGGCUACAACGAAGAAGACGAACUUAUCAAUAACGAUAUAGACCAACCAAUAAACAACACAUCAAACGAAAAAAUUAAUAACAUCCUAAACAGUCUAAACAGUCUGAAUAGCGAAUACUUUAAUGAUCUAAAAGAAUAUACAAAUUUUGAAGAGAAUAGUUAUAAUAAUAAUAAUAAUUUAAGUCAAAAUAUUAAUACUAAUAAUAAUAAUAAAUUUAUGGGUUCAUCUUUUAUGAAAGAAUGUUUAACCGACAUGGUACAAGUAGCGAAAGAAAAAAAAGAUAAUAGUUUUUUUGGAAGAAAAAAAGAAUUAAAAAGAAUAAUUGAAAUAUUAGGUAGAAAAAAAAAAUCGAAUCCUUUAUUAAUAGGAGAAAGUGGAGUAGGUAAAACAGCAAUUGUCGAACAUUUAUCAUUUUUAAUUGCAAAAAAUAAAGUACCACAACAUUUAAAAAAUUACCGUAUUUAUCAACUAAAUGUUGGUAAUAUUGUAGCUGGUACAAAAUAUAGAGGUGAAUUUGAAGAAAAAAUGAAAUAUUUAUUAUCAAAUAUGAAUAAAAAAAAAAAAAAUAUUUUAUUUAUUGACGAAAUACAUGUUAUUGUUGGAGCAGGAAGUGGAGAAGGGUCAUUAGAUGCAUCAAACUUAUUAAAACCAUUUCUUUCUGCUGAUAAUUUACAAUGUAUAGGUACAACCACUUUUCAAGAAUAUUUUAAAUAUAUUGAAAACGAUAAACCUUUAAGAAGAAGGUUUAAUUGUAUUACUAUCAAAUCAUUGACACCUGAAGAAACAUAUAAAUUAUUAAAAAAAAUUAAAUCUAGUUAUGAACAGUAUCAUAAUGUAUUUUAUACCCAUGAUUCAUUAAAAUCUAUAAUUACUUUAACAGAAGAUUAUUUACCUACAGCAAACUUCCCAGAUAAAGCUAUCGAUAUAUUAGACGAAGCAGGAGCUUAUCAGAAAAUAAAACAUGAAAGGUAUAUAAAACAAAAAUUAAAAAAUCAGAAUAUUAAUAACCAGAUUAAUAAUUCUAAUCGUAUCAACAAUUAUGUACAAAAUAACAGCAUAAAAAUACAACCAAAUCAAGUUUAUAAAAAAAAUGAUGAAGAUGAAUUCGCUUCCAGAAAUCGGGAUAUAACUCCUGACAUAACUGAGCAAACAAAUCAGUACACGGAAAGAGGUAAACUUAGGAAUAUAAUCAAUAUAGACGUAGAAAAUGCAAAAGAUGAACAGGUAAAUGUAGUUACAGAUAAAAAAAUUGAUAAAUAUGUUGGUGAAAAGGAUAUAAAGGAGCAAGAAAACCAAUCUAAAGCUGUACAAUCUAAAGCU